rnacentral:tRNA from 1 species
AGCCUUAUAGUCAAGGGGUAUGACGUUAGACUGCAAUUCUAAAGGGGUAAUGUUUCGUAAUUACUAAGGCUU